ensembl:lincRNA
GGCCGGUCAGUCCGGGGAGCAGGGGUGCAUUUGUGCUACGCGUGCGCAGGAGCCCCCUGACCUAUGUCUAUGUGAAGCACUGUGGAAGGUUUUACUAAACAUUGUUUAAAUGGAAGCUUACGGUACAUGCGGGAGUUAAGAGAGAUAGAGAUGGGAAUAGGAGCUUCCCAAGCGUGGAGCUUAAGUUGUUAACUGUCUUCACAUUGGCCCUACACAAACCCUCUGUACCAUUUUGGUGGCUCUCUAAUUACAUCUCAAAGAAGUUUCUAAAAGCCGGGCCUGGUGGCAAAUGCCUUUAAUACCAUUAGAGGCAGAUGGAUCUCCGAGUUCAAGGCUAGCCUGGGUUACAUGGAGAUGCUUGUCUCGAAAAGUGGGAAGGAGGGCUGCUGAAGAAAUCCCCCUCACCCUGCUCCUCUUUUGACAGGAGAUACAUGAACUGCCACUGGAGAUGCUUGGGAUGAAGUCAUAAUCUAAUAAAAUGAAGCCAGGAGCGACAAAGGUCAUAUAAGAGUUUAGUACAUGUUCUAUUAAAUUUCCGAGGCAGCUCAAAGAGACAGACCGAAGACAGAAAAGAGAUGGGUAGUCUGACCUUCAACAGUAAGGGCUCUUUACUGGUUCGCACAGUAGAGAGCAGACUCCUCCCGAAAGCUGAAAAUGGUCUGCCAGAGGAAGAGAUGGCUUCACCCCUUUAUAGGGUCAAGAGACUUCAGGGCACGGAAGUGUCUGGAGCCUUCAGCCAAACAAGCAAUAGAGGUCAAUGGAGAAUCCCCACGGCCAACGGAAAGUCCCAGAACCUUUGAGUCUCAAGAUGGAGAGCCUCACAGACCUAACCAGGAUGCCUCGGAGUUAGGUCCCAUGGGGUUACCUUGUCCAAACGUUUUCACUGUGUUGGAUACAUGGACUGGUUGAAUAGAGAGUUGGCCUCCCAUUUGGAGUUCAGACUGUGUCAGAGCAAGUGAGAGGAGAGAAGGGUAGAAACAAGGUGAAAGAAGUGGCCAUCUCAGAAAGACAGGGUGGCCCUGACAGGCCAACUUGGAACAUAGGAUGGUCGAGCAGAUGAGAGCAAAGGAGGCCCAUGAGGGCCUAGGGUCUCUAUACAACUCUGUGCCAGGUUACACCACAGUCCAGUCAGGGCCUGGCCAGCUAACCUCAAGCUUGCCCCUGUCCUUCCCACUGUAAGGCUUACUUUUGUAACUCUAGGACUGCACUCUGGGCCUCCUGUGGAUUUAAUAAACUCCUGUUGGUGCCUGGUUAGUUUCUGUGAGAGUAUUUUCUUUCAGGUGUGUGUUUUGUUGUUGUUGUUGUUGUUUUGUUUCCAGUGAUG